rnacentral:lncRNA from 1 species
UGGGAGACUGGAUCAUGGCUCCUAAAGAUGUCCACAGCCUCAUCCCAGAACUUGUGAAUGUUACCUUACAUGGCAAAGAGAGACUUUGUAGAUGUUACUAAGUUAAAGGCUUGAGACAAGGAGAUUAUCCUGGAUUAUCUGGGUGGGCUCAGUGUGAAGCACAUUCUUCCUAAGAGGGAAUCAGGCAGGUCAGUGACAAAGAAGGCCAUGGGAUGGAAGGGAUCUGCCUUGAAGAUAGAGGAAAGGGCCAGAAACAAGGAAUGUGGGUGGCUUCUAGAAGCUGGAAAGGCAAGGGGACAGUUUGUCCCCAGAAGCCUCUGUACGGAACCAGCCCUGCUGACUUGUUGACAGGAGCUCAGUGAAACUGAUUUCAGACGUCUGGCCUCCAGAACUGUAAGAGAAUACAUGUGUGUUGUUUUAAGCCACUAAAUUUAUUCAUUACAGCACCAAUAGAAAACGAAGACAGCUGUUCAGCAGAUAUAGCAAGAGGGAGGCUGAGAGGUCUUUCAUCAGGAGGCAUGGUGUGAGGGUGCAAGGGUCUCCAGUGGGUGGUGUCAGAUGGAUCCAGUCAUUCAUCAUAU